CAGACACCCCCAGAGGCUGCUGGGGGAGUGGGGGGCCCCUCCCGACCCCCUCUUGAUCCAGCUCUCUUGGCGGCUUUCAGGAAACCCACAGAAGUACGACCCGACUUUCAAAGGUCCCAUUUACAACAGCUUAAAUCUUUAAAAAUCUCAAUACCCAGUGCUGGUGAAGAUGUGGGGAAGUGGGCACUUGGCCUCAAAAGUGAGCUGAAUAUUGUUGCAGCCUCCCUGGAGGACCGUGUAGCAUUAGGUAUGAAAAUUUAAGAUGCAUGUACCUUCUGGAACAGGAUUUCCACCACCUGGGAACAUGUAUCCAAAUAACACAGGGAUGUGGGUAAUGGUGUGUGGGCACAGGGGUCCCACCUGAUGGCCCCCUCUGCUCCCCAGGGGCUGUACUGACAUCAUCUGCUGCGUGUUCCUCCUCCUGGCCAUUGUGGGCUACGUGGCCGUGGGUAUCAUAGGUGAGUGGGAAGUGCAGGGCUGGGGGCUCCAGGGGA
rnacentral:lncRNA from 1 species